UAUNGGUCAAUGGGCGAAACCCUGAACCAGCNACGCCGCGUGAGGGAAGACGGCUUUCGGAUUGUAAACCUCUGUCCUCUGUGAAGAUGAUGACGGUAGCAGAGGAGGAAUCUCCGGCUAACUACGUGCCAGAAGCCGCGGUAAUACGUAGGGAGCGAGCGUUGUACGGAUUUACUGGGUGUAAAGGGUGCGUAGGCGGCUGUGCAAGUGAGUAGUGAAAUCCAUGGGCUUAACCCAUGAACUGCUAUUGAAACUGCACAGCUUGAGUGAAGUAGAGGUAGGCGGAAUUCCCGGUGUAGCGGUGAAAUGCGUAGAGAUCGGGAGGAACACCAGUGGCGAAGGCGGCCUACUGGACUUUAACUGACGCUGAGGCACGAAAGCGUGGGUAGCAAACAGG
rnacentral:rRNA from 1 species